rnacentral:rRNA from 1 species
UACAGAGGUCCCAAGCGUUGUUCGGAUUCACUGGGCGUAAAGGGUGCGUAGGCGGUCGGGUAAGUCUGAUGUGAAAUCUCACAGCUUAACUGUGAAACUGCAUUGGAUACCAUCCGGCUCGAGGAAUGGAGGGGAGACUGGAAUACUUGGUGUAGCAGUGAAACGCGUAGAUAUCAAGUGGAACACCAGUGGCGAAGGCGAGUCUCUGGACAUUUCCUGACGCUGAGGCACGAAAGCCAGGGGAGCGAACGGG